ACGUUGCCGUUUUUAUAGUACCUCAUGCCCUUCCGCAAACCAAACUCUUUUAAAAUGCUGAUUAGUGAUUCCUCUUAAUGAUUCAAAAUGAACAAACCAUUGGUUCGAUUUCUCGUUCUCUUCGCCGAUCGCCGUCGUGCUUUGCUUCUCGCCGGCAAGCACCUGGCUCUUUCUUUCUCUCUUUUGUUGGUUUUGAACUGAACGGAAUAGUUUUGCUUACUUACUGUGAACAGUUAUGGUUAGUUGUGUGACCUAACAUGGAGAACGAGGAAGCCAAAAACACAAACGGAUCUGCCAAGACAAUGUAUAAAAUGCGGCUUCCCAUCCUUCUUGUAUGGUCAGAAAUAGAUAGGAUUUACAUGCACCUAUCAGUUCCCAGCUAAGCCAGCCGCACUCUCAACAGGGUGAAUCAACGGCCAAAGCAAUGAGACCGGCAAUUGUAUGCUUCUUGGUAGAUAAUCUCGUACCAUACAUAUGUUGUACUGUUGAAUGGAACAAAUGUGGUUGAUGAACUACAAGAUCCAACUCAAAGAAGUCUGAUCAUUCUAGGGAGAAGUUGUUGCUUUGUUGGCUGCUUGGUACAAAAUGACAACCUCCCCGAUUACUGAACAGUUUUUGCUAAUGCAGCUGCAAUCUGGUACAGAGAUUAAGUGUUUAAUUUCUUGUGAAAUUAAAAAGAAAAAUUAUAGACUUGAUAUAUCAGUUUGAGUGGAUACCCGAGUUUUAUUGCUUUGGCUGAUGGUUCACUGUAUUGAGGCUGUGGCUGACUUAGUUGGAGACUAAUAGGUGCAUGUAAAUCAUAUCCAUUUCUGACCUUAUAAGAAGGAUUGGAUGCCACAUUUUCUUCAUUUGUACUCCUUGCUUCAUAAACCUAAGAUCGAUCCAAAUCUUCUGUUCAGGUUUAGCUAUAGGAAACUUGAAGCCUUUAGCUUUCGGAUAAAUAGAAGGUCUAGUUACUUUUUUUGUUCCUCUAAUUUGUUUUUUAAGUUUAAUUUGGUCCUUUUAUUAUUUAAAGAUUCAAUUAGAUCAUCUAAUUUUUAAAAACAGUUCAGUUAGGUCCUUUAUUUUUUAAAAUAGGUUCAAUUUGGUCCAAAAUUGAUUUUAUAUGCCAACCAAAUUGAACCCAUUUUAAAAAAAGGGACCUAAUUGAAGUACUUUUUUUUAAAAAUUAAAUGGCCUAAUUAAUUGAACAUUUUAAUAAUAAGAGGACUAAGUUAAACAUAAAAAAUAAAUUAGAGGACAAAAAAGUAAUUAAACCUAAAUAGAAUUAAGCCAAAUAAAUGAGUGAAAUCUGUUUGAUAUUGUCCUAUCCAUAUGAAGUGCCUGUGUAUGUGCAGACUUGUUCAUUUUACAAGCCUUUGUUAGGCUUAGGCAUGGAUAUGUAUUACUGGAAAGAUGAACAAUAUAUUCUUGAAUAUAGAAUGUGUUUUUAUGGAUCA